rnacentral:rRNA from 1 species
CUUGUACAGGUGCUGCAUGGCUGUCGUCAGCUCGUGUCGUGAGAUGUCGGUUAAGUCCGCUAACGAGCGCAACCCUCGUCGUGUGUUAUACGUGUCACACGAUACUGCCGGUAUCAAGCCGGAGGAAGGUGGGGAAUGAUGUCAAGUCAGCAUGGCCUUUAUAUCCUGGGCUACACACACGCUACAAUGGCAGAUACAAUAGGUUGCGAAACCGCGAGGUGGAGCCAAUCCUCAAAGUCCUGUCUCAGUUCAGAUUGUAGGCUGCAACUCGCCUGCAUGAAGUUGGAGUUGCUAGUAAACGCAGGUCAGCUAUACUGCGUUGAAUACGUUCCCGGGGUUU